rfam:Triticum aestivum genome assembly, contig: Triticum_aestivum_CS42_TGACv1_scaffold_375291_5AL
CAAGUACUCCCUCCGUUUCGAAUUACUUGUUUUAGAUUUGUCUACAUACGGAGGUAUCUAGCACUAAAACGAGUCUAGAUACAUCCGUAUCUAGACAAAUCCAAGACAAGUAAUUUGAAACGGAGGAAGUAGCAC